ACAGGUGCUGCAUGGCUGUCGUCAGCUCGUGUCGUGAGAUGUUGGGUUAAGUCCCGCAACGAGCGCAACCCUUGUCAUUAGUUGCCAUCAUUUGGUUGGGCACUCUAAUGAGACUGCCGGUGACAAACCGGAGGAAGUGGGAUGACGUCAAGUCCUCAUGGCCCUUAUGGGUAGGGCUUCACACGUCAUACAAUGGUCGGUACAGAGGGUUGCCAACCCGCGAGGGGGAGCUAAUCCCACAAAGCCGAUCGUAGUCCGGAUCGCAGUCUGCAACUCGACUGCGUGAAGUCGGAAUCGCUAGUAAUCGUGGAUCAGCAUGUCACGGUGAAUACGUUCCCGGGUCUU
rnacentral:rRNA from 1 species